rnacentral:rRNA from 1 species
GACAGAGGGGGCAAACGUUGUUCGGAAUUACUGGGCGUAAGGCGCGUGUAGGCGGUCUUCUAAGUCGGAUGUGAAAGCCCCGGGCUCAACCCGGGAAGUGCACUCGAAACUGGAAGGCUAGAGUAUCGGAGAGGUUGGUGGAAUUCUCGGUGUAGAGGUGAAAUUCGUAGAUAUCGAGAGGAACACCGGUGGCGAAGGCGGCCAACUGGACGAAUACUGACGCUGAGACUCGAAAGCGUGGGGAGCAAACAGG